CAGCCGGGAGGUUGGCUUAGAAGCAGCCAUCCUUUAAAGAUAGCGUAACAGCUCACCGGUCUAAUAGAGUUUCUGCGCCGAAGAUGUAACGGGGCUAAAAUCACAUACCGAAUCUGUGGGUUUAUAAAGUUUUCGAACUUUAUAAGCGGUAGCGGAACGUUCUGUAAGCCUGUAAAGGGAUACCCGUGAGGGAUCCUGGAGGUAUCAGAAGUGCGAAUGCUGACAUGAGUAACGAUAAAAGAAGUGAAAAACUUCUUCGCCGAAAAUCCAAGGGUUUCUGCGCAAGGUUAAUCCGCGCAGAGUUAGUCGGCCCCUAAGGCGAGGGCGAAAGCCGUAGUCGAUGGAAAUAAGGUUAAUAUUCCUUAACCAGAUGGAAGUGACGGAUUUUGUAAGUUGUAAACUCUUAAUGGAUUGAACUUGCCGUGAAAAAGUCCCAGGAAAUAGCUCCAUCAUUAGACCGUACCCUAAACCGACACAGGUGGAUUAAUAGAGUAUAUUUAGGCGCUUGAGAGAAUGAUGUUGAAGGAACUCGGCAAAAUGCUUCUGUAACUUCGGAAUAAAGAAGACCUUUUUUUGGGCAACCAUUAAGAGGUGGCACAAGCCAGGGAGAAGCGACUGUUUAUCAAAAACACAGGGCUCUGCUAACACGUAAGUGGAUGUAUAGGGUCUGACGCCUGCCCGGUGCUGGAAGGUUAAUGCGAUGGGUGCAAGCUCAUUUCUGAAGCCCCAGUAAACGGCGGCCGUAACUAUAACGGUCCUAAGGUAGCGAAAUUCCUUGUCGGGUAAGUUCCGACCUGCAUGAAUGGCGUAACGAUUUCUCCGCUGUCUCCAACAUCAACUCAGUGAAAUUGAAUUCUCCGUGAAGAUGCGGAGUUCGCGUAGUUAGACGGAAAGACCCCGUGCACCUUUACUGCAACUUUACAUUGGUGUUAGGAAAAACAUAUUUAGCAUAGGAGGGAGACAUUGAAGCAAUGGCGUCAGCUUUUGUGGAGUCACCAGUGAAAUACCUCUUUUGUUUUUCUUGGCAUCUAACUGAUUGCCGUUAUCCGGCAUCAAGACAUUGUAUGGUGGGUAGUUUGACUGGGGCGGUCGCCUCCCAAAUAGUAACGGAGGCGUGCGAAGGUAGGCUCAGAACGGUCAGAAAUCGUUCGUAGAGUGCAAUGGCAUAAGCCUGCCUGACUGUGAGACUGACAAGUCGAGCAGAGACGAAAGUCGGUCAUAGUGAUCCGGUGGUUCUGAGUGGAAGGGCCAUCGCUCAACGGAUAAAAGGUACGCCGGGGAUAACAGGCUGAUACUGCCCAAGAGCUC
rnacentral:rRNA from 1 species